UGCCGAGUAGUUCAAUGGUGGAACGGCAGACUCUGACUCUGCAGGUUAUAAGUUCGAGUCUUAUCUCGGUAACCA
rnacentral:tRNA from 1 species